rnacentral:rRNA from 1 species
UACGGAGGGUGCAAACGUUGCUCGGAAUCAUUGGGCGUAAAGCGCACGUAGGUGGCCUGUUAAGUCGGGCGUGAAAUCCCUGGGCUCAACCCAGGAAGUGCACUCGAAACUGGCAGGCUUGAGUACUGAAGAGGGUCGCGGAAUUCCCGGUGUAGAGGUGAAAUUCGUAGAUAUCGGGAGGAACACCAGUGGCGAAGGCGGCGACCUGGGCAGAUACUGACACUGAGGUGCGAAAGCGUGGGGAGCAAACAGG